CGAGCGGAUGAAGGGAGCUUGCUCCUGGAUUCAGCGGCGGACGGGUGAGUAAUGCCUAGGAAUCUGCCUGGUAGUGGGGGAUAACGUCCGGAAACGGGCGCUAAUACCGCAUACGUCCUGAGGGAGAAAGUGGGGGAUCUUCGGACCUCACGCUAUCAGAUGAGCCUAGGUCGGAUUAGCUAGUUGGUGGGGUAAAGGCCUACCAAGGCGACGAUCCGUAACUGGUCUGAGAGGAUGAUCAGUCACACUGGAACUGAGACACGGUCCAGACUCCUACGGGAGGCAGCAGUGGGGAAUAUUGGACAAUGGGCGAAAGCCUGAUCCAGCCAUGCCGCGUGUGUGAAGAAGGUCUUCGGAUUGUAAAGCACUUUAAGUUGGGAGGAAGGGCAGUAAGUUAAUACCUUGCUGUUUUGACGUUACCAACAGAAUAAGCACCGGCUAACUUCGUGCCAGCAGCCGCGGUAAUACGAAGGGUGCAAGCGUUAAUCGGAAUUACUGGGCGUAAAGCGCGCGUAGGUGGUUCAGCAAGUUGGAUGUGAAAUCCCCGGGCUCAACCUGGGAACUGCAUCCAAAACUACUGAGCUAGAGUACGGUAGAGGGUGGUGGAAUUUCCUGUGUAGCGGUGAAAUGCGUAGAUAUAGGAAG
rnacentral:rRNA from 1 species